rnacentral:rRNA from 1 species
AGUUUGAUUAUGGCUCAGGAUGAACGCUAGCUACAGGCUUAACACAUGCAAGUCGAGGGGCAGCAUGAGAUCAGCUUGCUGAUCUUGAUGGCGACCGGCGCACGGGUGAGUAACGCGUAUCCAACCUUCCCCCUACUCAGGCAUAGCCCGGUGAAAACCGGAUUAACUCCUGAUAGUUUCACUAGAUGGCAUCUGACGGUGAAUAAAGCUCAGCGGUAAGGGAUGGGGAUGCGUCUGAUUAGCUUGUUGGCGGGGUAACGGCCCACCAAGGCGACGAUCAGUAGGGGUUCUGAGAGGAAGGUCCCCCACAUUGGAACUGAGACACGGUCCAAACUCCUACGGGAGGCAGCAGUGAGGAAUAUUGGUCAAUGGGCGGAAGCCUGAACCGGCCAAGUAGCGUGCAGGAAGACGGCCCUAUGGGUUGUAAACUGCUUUUGUGCGGGAAUAAAGUCAGGGACGUGUCCCUGUUUGCAUGUACCGCAAGAAUAAGGACCGGCUAAUUCCGUGCCAGCCGCCGC